GGGGAGGCUGAGGCAGGAGAAUCGCUUGAACCCAGGGGGCGGAGGUUGCAGUGAGCUGAGAUCACACCAUUGCACUCCAGCCUGGGUGACAGAGUGAGACUUCAUCUCAAAAAAAUAAAAAAUAAAAAAGUUUUAGAGCAGGAAUGAAAGGAAGCAAAGUACACUUGGAAGAGGGUCAAGUGGGCAACAUAAGAGAUCCAAGUGCCCUGUUCAGCCUUGGGCUUGGGGUUUUAUACAUUGGCAUGGUUCCGGGGUUUGUGUUUUUCUUCCCUUAAUUUUCCCCUUGGGGCAGGCUGUCUGCAUGCACAGUGACCUGCCAGCACUUGGGAGGGGCCGCAUGUGCAGUGCGUUUACUGAAGUUGUGUGUAUGCUCGUUUGAGGCAUUUUUCUCUUACCAGUCAAGCAUUCCCAGAGGAAGGUCAUAUACCAGUUAAACUCCCAUUUUGCCUCUUAGUGCACAUGUUUGAACCGACUCGCCUAGCUCCUGAGAUCUUAUCAGGAAGCUGCUGAUCACUAGCUCCAGGUAUUUUCUAUCUACUGGGAGACUGCAGGUCCCUGGAACCAGCUGCAACCAAUUAUCAUUUUAGCGACACAGUUUAACAACUGCCUGACCAUCACCUGAUGGUUGCCUGACGACCUGAUAGGGGCCCUCUCCUGCCCUGCUCAGUUCUGCCUAACUGCCUACUCUAACAUACUGAUUUAUGUCUUGGCCUGCAACUUCUGUCUCCCUAAAUGUGUAAAACCAAGCUGUAACUGACCACACUUUCUCAGGACCUCUUGGGAUUGUUCUCCCAGCCAUGGUCACUCAUAUUGGCUCAGAAUAAA
rnacentral:lncRNA from 10 species